rnacentral:rRNA from 1 species
GAUUUCUGGCCUGAAACAUUUUGCCGGCCGCGGUUUCGCGUGUUAGUGCUUGAUGUUCUGGCCAUCCUUCCAAUUGCUAUUCAUCUUUCUUCAUUGAUGGGUGGAUGGUGUUGGAUCUUUUACUUUGAAAAAAUUAGAGUGUUUCAAGCAGGCUUAAUGCUAUGAAUACAUUAGCAUGGAAUAAUAAUUUAGGACUUCGGUUCUAUUUUGUUGGUUUCUAGGACUGAAGUAAUGAUUGAUAGGGAUAGUUGGGGGUGCUAGUAUUCAGCGGCCAGAGGUGAAAUUCUCGGAUUCGCUGAAGACUAACUUAUGCGAAAGCAUU